CAACUAAGGAGCAUUUUUCUUGGUGCUUAGGCUUGCAGUGUCUGGGCUCAGCCUCAUCAGCCUCUCAGGUGGUGCUCAUCUCCUGGAGGGCUGGGGUUGUGCCACUGCUCCCGGCUCCAUCCCUGCUCGCCUGGUGCUGAGGGCACCACAAAUAUUUCACCUUCCUCAGCAGAAGCAGCUCAGGCCUUGCACUAGGGCAGAAAAAAAUACAGUACACAAAUAGAAAAAUGAAAAAGGUAAAAGAUGAAGUGAUAAAAAAGGAGACCAAGUCUUCCGCUGAGGCCCUAGUCAGCAUUUGGUCAGUGAAGAUGUGGUGCAAGGACGAGAAAUUUCAUUUUCUGAUUUCUGUUAACAGCUUACAAGGGACAAUGUUUGUUUCUGUUUCUGCUGGGACAGGCGUUGAAGCUGGAUGUUGCCCGCUCUAGCCUUGCAUUCAGACUUGGCACACCGUGGGUGCCCGGGUGCUGAGCUCCUGGCCGCCCUCCCCACGCGCGAGGUCUCGGUGCGCCUCCCCUGCCGCAGCGCUGCAGGCAACAGCCACAAAUGGCUCGUGUCGCACGGCAUUUCGGGCAGAAUGUACUGCUCUUCAGUGUCUUUUAUUUCCGAGUGUUAAUAGUUCAUCUCCCUCAAGUCAGCAAAAUACUGAUCAUAAUUGCAGUUUUGGACUUCAGUGCAUUGUGUGCAGGUUGUACACGUGGAGAUGCUUUGUCUGUGAAUCCCUUGAACUCCCAGGGGCAGCAGAGGCUUUCCGUGUCUCAGGGAUGCUCUGGAACUGCAUCAGCUCUUCUGGAGGAACGGGCUCCCUGGAGCAGACUGCUGCCAAGAACAGCAGUUCUCUGCUGUACGCUUUGCACCGAAAAUGUCCACCCGCCUCACACCAGUGCAUUGAAAUGCAGCGCAACAAGGCAGCAGGUUCCCAGAAGGACUCAGUGCAAACAGCCCGGCAGUUCAAAGCCAAAGACGACAUCAGCCUGCUUUCUGCAGAGGCAUCGGGAUGAAGUACCAGCAGGUGACCACAGCGUAGUGCAGUCAGAUCAGCAGACGUUUCUCCUGAAUGAAGGAAUGCCAAUUAAAAAUCCACCCAAAGGAGUGAGGACCUGGCAGCCCUGUUCUGCAGGACCAGAGCACACAAAAACCUCACUCAUUUUCCGGUGA
rnacentral:lncRNA from 1 species